CGUAAAUGAGUGACAAUAUCGCAUAAAUUAUUGUGUUUGUGCUUAGGCCGUUAAACAUACGGCCCCUACCUUGGGAAUAAAGCUGCAUUCGAACACUACAUGGGGAAGCAAACUGUGACUGGAGAAAACUAUCUUGGAGAUCAGAACGCGACAGCGACAUCUCGCAACCUGGAUCCAACUACUGAUCUACUGAUGCAUCAGAAGAAUGGCUUCAACAAGAUAGCCCUAGAAUUUCCACAACUACCGACAGCAACAGAAAGUUCUGCAGAUAUUGGUGCCCUCCCAUGAGAACUUCGUGACUCCGAAAAGAAGACUUAGUACCUUUUUUUACCUUUAUAACUUUGAUACCGGUCACCAGAAGGGUCUCGAUCACAGUUUCAGAAAAUUAAUUUGGUUGCCUGUACAUAAUAGAAUGAUUUCUGUUAAUUUUUUGUAUCUGAUUAAAUAGUGUAUAUAAAAUGA